rnacentral:rRNA from 1 species
UACGAGGGGGGCAAGCGUUGUUCGGAAUUAUUGGGCGUAGAGGGCGCGUAGGCGGUUUGACAAGUCUGAUGUGAAAUCUCUGGGCUCAACCCAGAGUCUGCAUUAGAAACUGUCGGGCUUGAGUAUGGGAGAGGUGAGUGGAAUUUCCGGUGUAGCGGUGAAAUGCGUAGAUAUCGGAAGGAACACCUGUGGCGAAAGCGGCUCACUGGACCAUAACUGACGCUGAGGCGCGAAAGCUAGGGGAGCAAACAGG